rnacentral:rRNA from 1 species
CCUACGGGAGGCAGCAGUGGGGGAUAUUGCACAAUGGGGGGAACCCUGAUGCAGCGACGCCGCGUGGGUGAAGAAGCGCCUCGGCGCGUAAAGCCCUGUCAGCAGGGAAGAAAAUGACGGUACCUGAAGAAGAAGCCCCGGCUCACUACGUGCCAGCAGCCGCGGCAAUACGUAGGGGGCAAGCGUUAUCCGGAUUUACCGGGCGUAAAGGGGGCGCAGACGGUGAUGCAAGCCAGGAGUGAAAGCCCGGGGCCCAACCCCGGGACUGCUGUUGCAACUGCGUGGCUGGAGUGCAGGAGGGGCAGGCGGAAUUCCUGGUGUAGCGGUGAAAUGCGUAGAUAUCGGGAGGAACACCGGUGGCGAAGGCGGCCUGCUGGACUGCAACUGACGUUGAGGCCCGAAAGCGUGGGGAGCGAACAGGAUUAGAUACCCUUGUAGUC